rnacentral:lncRNA from 1 species
ACACACAUCAGCUGAAGUUAACUUUGAAGGUUACUCCUUGUUUUUGCUCUGUGUGUUAUAAUGGAAUAAUCAGUAAUAUUACAUCUGCUAUUAGGCAGCAUGUUUGGAAGAUUAGGGAAUGCUUCAGAAAGACAGGCCAGAAGAUAUACAGCAUUCUAGGUUAGUAGACAAGUGGUACACAGCUAUGUAACUAGCUAACUUAACUUAGAUUUCCUACACACAUACUUGAUUUUGUCUCAUCAGUUAAGUAUUUUGGAAAACAAAUACUUAACAUCAAGUAAUAGAAAAUAAGAUUUUUUUUUCCCCCAGAUGUACUUAAAUAGAGGAAAAUGAAGGUAGAUGAUGACUUAAAAGUUUAUUAUUUUUUCAAGACAGCAACUGUUCUGUUAUUUCAGUAUGAAAACUUGCUACACUUAGAAGUCUCUGGAGAGAGAGCCUGUGUGUUUGUCAUUUUUAUCAAAGGCUCUUACAGAGAUUGGUUCUGGGGUAAGCACGCUGUUAGAGGCAGCAUGGUGCACUGCCCGUGGUAGGUAGGUGCCAGCGCUGAGGGCUCAUGGGAAUCUAUCUCACUCACGCUCACACAACAGCCAGUCAGUACAGAUAAUAGCACAGCAACAGUCAUUCUUUUGUAGCUUAGCAGGAUCUAGAUUCCAUUGCACUGGUAGGUACUGGUGGUAGAAAUAAUAUGGAUAAUGGGACAAAGUCCUGUUUAACCUGCAGGUGUUACUCCUCUGCCAUUUUGUUACAUGCUUUAUGUGCAGGGCUGUAACCAAUCCGUUUGAGCUGACGGUAAGUAAGCAAGCUCACUUUACUAUCAAGCCUGAAGUUGCUGUAAAUCAUUCACUGUAUGCCACUCACUUCUCUUUACCAACUGUGGCAUUCAGAACUGGGCUCAGCCCUUACCUUUGGAAUCAGCUUACUCUUUUUACACUCAUGACCUUAAUUUGAUUUUUCUUAGUUUUGAAUUCUUGAUUUCUCACCUUUUACGCUUUUAGGAUCUUAAUUGCAUUUACAUCUUUUAAAGUUGAAGUGAAAGUGUAAGUAAGUGCUGUGCAGUGACAUACACAUACUAGUAAACUGCUUCAGGGCUUGUUUUCAUCUCCCUCCUACUCAGGUUAACAGGAAGCAGCCUUUGAUUCUAAUACAGGUAGUAAAGCACCAGUAGUACUGAUAAAGCCUAAGCUAUGCUUCUUCAAUUAACUGGAAGUUUGUUUUAUGUUCAACGUCUAUUUAAAAAAAACAACAAAAACACACUUUACUUUGUCAAAAGCUAGUCAAGAAGGGCGAGAGGCAGGCUUGCUAUUUUGACUUCAAAACAAAACACUACACCCAUUCAGCUGUCCUCUUCUGACUGAGGGUAGUCAGAUGUGGGUGAUGAAGGAGCUGCACAACCUCUAACAAGCAGAAGCCUACAGCAAGUUGUGAAGCUUCUGCUAUAGCUGCUUUCAAGGGGACGCAUCAUGUUCCCCCAGUUUAAAACCAUCCACCAUGUCGCACAGAGUACAUUAUUCUAUCAGUGUCAAUAACUGUCAGUAUCAGUUCUGGCUGUAGGUAAAAAAAAAAAAGUCAAAUACAGUAGAAACAAACGUUCCAUCCAGUUGCAGUUCAGUAACAGUAAGUGCCUGCUUAUUUUUCAUGCUUCUCCCCUAGAUCAAACUUCACACUCAAAAACCCCACCAUCCCAACAAUUACAGCGUCCUUUGCCACCUUGCUCUUUGUAACACUUGAUCUCUUUGAUUUCAAAAUGCAAUGAAAUGAGGUCAGCUCUGCUAAAAGGAGCACACUGAGGGGCACCCAUUUCAAUUCAGGCCACAACACUUUCUAAAGACAACAGAUUUUUAAGAAACAUAGUUCAAAUCCUUAUCAGACUUGGGAAUAUGCAACACAAUUCAAAUGAGUUUACAAUUAGCGUCAACAAUAACAAAUACAUUUGUCCACUGCCUAAAGUCCGUACAACUGCAAAUAGCAUGCUCUUCCCCUGCAAAGAGGCACAAAGUCUGACCCAUAAAAAAAUAUAUUUUUAUAGUAGUGCUACACAAAGCAACAGUGAAACAUCUUACCUCUUCUCCACCACUUUUUCAUAGAACCUGGCUGAAGAUGAGAAGAAAAUGCAGGCGAGUCGGUCAGCUACUGCAGCAUUUCAGUCUGCCUUUAUUAGGCCACAUCACCACUAAAAAUACAGGUGUCAAAGAUUUCCAGAGUCUACUGCAAGGAGUUUUUGAGAUUUAAUCGUAUUUGUAAGCUCUAGUACAGCUCAUACACUAGUAUUUGCAUUGGCUUUUGUUUUACUGUACCUCCACCACAUUUCUAGUACAGAGCUUGCUUGCCUUUUUCCAGCUGUAAAAUUUUGACAGCACAUUACAGCUCAUCUCAGAAUUUGCUUUUCUUCAGUAUGGAUAUUUCAUAUGGGAAGAAAACCAAUCUGUUGUAAACACAAUAAAACUGGCAGGGGUAGACCUUAAAAUGAUGAGAUUUUAAAAAUACUUAAAAGGAAUCAAGCAACCAUGGAAGUUUACAUAUGCAUUAUUAGAAGGUUAGCCCAGCUCUCAAAGCAUUCAAAUACAUAUUCAUCAGCUUGCCAUAUGCUCACAUACACAUGCAAGACAACAACCACCGCCUGCCCAAAAGCUGUCUUUCAUUUCUGUUAAAUAGAAUUAGUGCUUUCUUAAUUUAAGAAUUGUCAAACCUGUGGUUGAGGUGAAGUUUUCAAACGUUCAGUUUGCCUUCAAAUGAAGGUUUGUCAAUUUUUGUGCUUAUAUGAAGGUAUUGGUCCUUAUCUCAUGCAGUUUCACUGCUCGAUGCAACAAAUACACACUUGCACACUAAACACCAGAACCCCUUUUCUACUGCUACUUUGCAUUUCAUUUGCCAUAACUGUGAUGCAAAGCUUUCGCUUCUGAAAACGGAAAGAAGUACCUUAAGCCACCAGUGGCAUGGAUUAAGUGACGAUCAGAUUUUGACUCAAGAUGGAAAAGUGUGCUUCAGACCAAUAGAUGCUUCUCAAGUAAGCUAGCUCCCAGGUGACUUCACAUCUGGGGACUUCCUUUCAAAUGUUACAGUUUCACCACAGCAAUGAGUGACUACAUUGGAAACACAACCUAAAGUAAGCUCUGUACUUCCCAACCUCCUCUCUCAGAUGUCAGCACUUCUUCUUAAGUUCCUCUCAGCAAACAUCCCUUUCUUCACUGGCCCCUUCUUCAGCGUGGGAAGCAGGGCUGGUAAACCAAGAGUUGGAAGCAAAGCCUGGUGAUUCUUACACAUUGCCCAGCAAAGCUUCAUUUUUAGGUUUUCUGGCACAGGCAGCUGACGCACCUUUUGACACAGCAGCAGAACCCCGGAAACAUAUUGCAGCUAUAAGUAAUUAAGUCCUUCAGGUUUCAACAUCAAAGAGAACACUUCUCCCACAAUACACCAAAGCACUCAAUGGGCUGUUUUAUUCCUGAAUGGAAGAGAGCUAAUCUCAAACUAAUUCCUUUACAUUUGGAACGGCCUUUAUAUAAAACCAAGUGUUUAAAGCCAACUAAAAAGUUUUUGCACUGGACGCUAGAAAAGAUCUGUAAGUUCUAUCAAUUUCAAUCAAAAAUAAAUUUAUUUCAAAAUCUUACACACAAUCUUCAUUGCACAAAUCAAAAAGUAUUCACGUUGAUGGCUGCAGAAUAAUACACUACUUAAAAUAAGAAAUCUCCAUGAGGAUGGGCUGGGGGGAACCGCAAGAAGUAAGCUACAUUGGAACUAGACACCGUGUACUUUAUGCAGCCACAUGAGAAAUGCUUCCUGCUGCUUUGUUAUUACACAGGUAGUUGGUUCUAUCAGCUAAAGCCUAGUGACUUGGGUUUGUUUUAUGCAUAUUGGGUUUUGUUCUAUUACUUUCCAAGAGAUUGUACUCCCCUGAGUCAGCUGUGUUCAUUGGUCAGAAUAAAUUCCAGCAUCUGACACCAUUUCCAUUAAUCACAGACAAGCCACUAUACGUGAGCAAGUUAAUAGAAAGAUAAAAAAAAAAACAGUAUCUGGUGAAUGGGAAACAUUAUUUAUGUAUGCUGUUCACUAGUACAGUAGAAGGUAUCCGAAAGGCAUUCUUUCAACUUUAAUAGACAAAGUGAAACAGGAGAAGAUGGGCAUCAUGUGAAGCAUUUAUUCCACAGGGAAGAAAGUGACCAGAACCACACAGAUCCUGUAGCAACUUGCCUAAGUAACACCUUUACAGCCUGUUAUUACAAUGGCUAUGCCACAGUCAUAGCUUCCCCAUGCUUUUUCAGGCAAUUUUAAGUAAUUUGCUACUGAACAGCUGCAGAAUUACUAUUUCUUUUUUUUCCAAUCACACUGAUCUUAAGUAGGACCCAUGAAGUUGAAUACUUAAUUCUCACACACAUCUGUAUAUAACACUCUUAGUACCACCUUCCCGCUCAUUACAGGUUAAAAGCAUCAUGGAUCUAAAAUACAAAGCAUCUUCCUUCAAAGUAUUGAGCAGUCAAAUCAUUUGCUAAACCUUGUCAUACUAAACUCAAAGAAGCAGAAGUUUCUAAAAAACAAGGCAUAAAUUGUAUUUGUCUAAAAACAGUUCUUGGCCUAAAGAUGAGACCCCCAACAAAGUACUCAGACACGCAGUCUACAAAGCAAUCACAAUCUGAGUAACUUCAGUUCUCAAUGGAGUACUAAAGAUACCAAAACAAUUAUUCCAUCAACACCUAAUCCAAUUAAAUUAAGGCUUUAUUUCCUUAAUAAAAGAAAAAUUAGUAGCUUUAACAACCACACAAAUAAAAAGUCAAGGUUCUGGUGGAGUGCAAAGGAGGCACGGUAAGGAUAAGUGCACCAUGAACGGGAUGAUUCUGUGGCAGGCACCGCUGUGUGCAGAACUCAGGCAGUUUCCCACAGUGAGAAUACACGGGGAACUGGGCUGUUAGGAGUCACUGCGUUCAGCAGCGUUACUUAUGAUCCUCUUUUAAUUCAUAAUGCCCCAAACUGUGUGUCCUAAACAGGACAGCCUACAAGCGAUUCUUCCUUUGCCACCAUCUCACAUAAAUAAAUUGUAACAAAAAAUCUCACCUUUUUGAUGAAAAUCACGUAAAAAAGGAUUUCUAAACCAUAGGAGUAAGAAAGUUAACUGAAAGGAGAGUAGGAGAGAUAAUCCAAUCUUCAUUGGAUUGAAUCCCAAACCUGUCAGAAACAAGCUCAGAGCUGUUACAAGUUUAACAAUACCACAUACCUUCCUGAAAACAUACAAACAGCAAACAAAUACAGAAUGAAAUUUUGUUUUAUUUCAAGAACUAUUUGCUGUGAUCUUUUGGAAACAUAUGCCAUCUGCAAUACAAGACUGUCUAAGCCCCAUGCUAGAUUCAUUCCCAUUAUACCAUCACAGCUUUAACUUCAAGGAACUUGCUCCUGAUUUACAGCAGAGGAAGACAGGGUUUUCUGUUCUAGAAAAAAAAAAACAAAAACACUUCAAUUUAAUUACCUGUUCAAAAGUUCAAGCAGUAAGGUGCCUAUUCAGAAUCAUUCUAAAAUGCCACAGUUCAUUCUAAAAAUUGCUUAGUUUUUGUGCAGACAGUUUUGAUUACACUGAUCCAGGUAAUCUGAUGGACAGUUUGACAAAACCUUAUUUGUUUCCCAAAACACAUUCUCAUUAGGUUUUGGAGGACUUGGGAAUACCCAGGAAUUAUCUUCCAGAGAGCUCUUUCCAUAAGAAUGGUGUUCCUGAAAUGUUUCACCAUCAACUGGAAUGGGUCCCUCAUCUGUCCAUGCUUGUAGAAUCACCCUUUCAGAUGGGAUUUUCACAUGUCCCGGCAGAGGGGGUGGUGCAGCAUUGCAGUGUACUUUAUCGCUUUGGGAGAGUUUUUUAUACACUACCCCAGACAUCAGAUUCUGCCUUGUAAUAUUCUUCAACUCAACACACUGUACUGGUGCAGAAGAGGCAGCUUUCUUGGUCGCUGUUAUGUUUGUUUUCAGUUUUCGUAGAACCUCAGUUUGCACUUCAGUCACUAGCUGCAAAUUAGACAUUUCUCUCUUCAGUUCCCAAUAUGCUUGCUGCACACUUUCAAAACAAAAAAAAUUCAACAUUAAAUACUUGCCAUCUCUGGAGCACCUCCAUAGCUUACUAACAUUUCUAAGG